rnacentral:rRNA from 1 species
CAGUAGCCGCGGUAAUACGGAGGGUGCAAGCGUUAAUCGGAAUUACUGGGCGUAAAGCGCACGCAGGCGGUCUGUCAAGUCAGAUGUGAAAUCCCCGGGCUUAACCUGGGAACUGCAUUUGAAACUGGCAGGCUAGAGUCUUGUAGAGGGGGGUAGAAUUCCAGGUGUAGCGGUGAAAUGCGUAGAGAUCUGGAGGAAUACCGGUGGCGAAGGCGGCCCCCUGGACAAAGACUGACGCUCAGGUGCGAAAGCGUGGGGAGCAAACAGGAUUAGAUACCCCUGUAGUCCCUGUCUCUUAUAC